AGCGAACGCUGGCGGCAGGCCUAACACAUGCAAGUCGAACGGACCUUUCGGGGUUAGUGGCGGACGGGUGAGUAACACGUGGGAACGUGCCUUUAGGUUCGGAAUAGCUCCUGGAAACGGGUGGUAAUGCCGAAUGUGCCCUUAGGGGGAAAGAUUUAUCGUCUUUAGAGCGGCCCGCGUCUGAUUAGCUAGUUGGUGAGGUAAUGGCUCACCAAGGCUACGAUCAGUAGCUGGUCUGAGAGGAUGACCAGCCACAUUGGGACUGAGACACGGCCCAAACUCCUACGGGAGGCAGCAGUGGGGAAUCUUGCGCAAUGGGCGAAAGCCUGACGCAGCCAUGCCGCGUGGAUGAUGAAGGUCUUAGGAUUGUAAAAUCCUUUCACCGGUGAAGAUAAUGACUGUAGCCGGAGAAGAAGCCCCGGCUGACUUCGUGCCAGCAGCCGCCGUAA
rnacentral:rRNA from 1 species